CGGGAGGUAGCUCAGCCUGGCAGAGCUCUCGAGCUGGCUACCGAGCUGUCGCAGGUUCAAAUCCUGCUCUCCCGA
rnacentral:tRNA from 1 species